AGGCAGUGUAGUUAGCUGAUUGUGUCAGUCCCUUGGCAAUCACUAACUUCACUGCCAUC
rnacentral:pre_miRNA from 1 species